rnacentral:misc_RNA from 1 species
GAUGAAGAACGUAGCGAAAUGCGAUAAGUAGUGUGAAUUGCAGAAUUCAGUGAAUCAUCGAAUCUUUGAACGCACAUUGCGCCCUUUGGUAUUCCUUAGGGCAUGCCUGUUCGAGCGUCAUUUAAACCUUCAAGCUAAGCUUGGUGUUGGGUGACUGUCCGCUUCACGGCGGACUCGCCUCAUAAUUAUUGGCGGCCGGUACAUUGGCUUCGAGCGCAGCAGAAACGCGAACUCGGGCCCGUCGUAUUGGCUCCCAGAAGCUAUCUUCACAAUUUUGACCUCGGAUCAGGUAGGGAUACCCGCUGAACUUAAGCAUAUCAAUAAGCGGAGGA